rnacentral:rRNA from 1 species
CACGGGGGGAGCAAGCGUUGUUCGGAAUUACUGGGCGUAAAGCGUGCGCAGGCGGCUUCUCAAGUCAGGGGUGAAAGCCCAGAGCUCAACUCUGGAAUUGCCUUUGAGACUGAGUGGCUUGAGUACGAGAGAGGUGAGUGGAAUUCCCAGUGUAGAGGUGAAAUUCGUAGAUAUUGGGAAGAACACCGGUGGCGAAGGCGGCUCACUGGCUCGUAACUGACGCUCAUGCACGACAGCGUGGGGAUCAAACAGG